UGCUCCUGAUGGUGGCACUCUUCCCUCAUUUGCAGCUGAGAAAGAUUCACAGACCAUUAAAGAAGACAGCGGAGAAGUAUUUCUGACCUCUUCUCCCACAGAAACGAGUUUAAAGAGAACCAGGGAAGUGGCAAAUACCAAACCUGGACACCAGGAUCUUCCCUGCACACAAUCUUCUCCUGAGUCAGGAAACACUCAGACUAAGAAAAGGAUAAAAACAUCGUUUUGGUUAACCCUGUCCCAACUGUUUCAUUAUAAGGUCACCCAACUUGGGGCUUACUUGCUACAUGCACUCCAUCCUCCAAAGCCUCCUGACCCUGAGCUGCUUUGUUAAAGAGCUCCACACCCAGCUGUCGGUGUGGAUCUCUCACCCCAGAGCCCAGCUCUUCAGGUACAGCCCACCAGACAACAAAACAUGGGUGUCAAAGUCCAGUCUUCGAGGGCCGGCGUCCUGCCAGGGACACAUCUAAAAGUUUCAGGGCUUUGGACUGAUUGGAGCUUAAAGCCAUGCUCUAAAAGAUCUAGGGCUGCAACUAACAAUUAUUUUAAUAUAUUAACCAGUCAAUUUUUUUUGAUUGAUCAAUGAAUCGGACAAAAAAGUUUAUGUUUUCAAUUUCCAGCUCUUCUUCGAAGAGUCAAAAAGGUUGUCAGACAUUUAAAACUUUGUUUUUCUUGUGAGGGUUUUACAUUUUUGAGGAUGUCCUUUAAGGACACUUACUUUUGUUUUUUCCAUAAGGGUCUUUAAUUUUGGUCUGCAUCUUAUCAUUCUGAGUGUCUCAAAAUGUUGUUAUGGUUACAUAAUAACAAAAGACUUGAUUCUGGAAAAGUUAGUUUGUAGCCUUGCUCCUCACUACCAUACAGUUCCUUCACUCAGACGUCUGCAAAUUAAAACUUUAAAGUUGAAUUAACAAAUUAUUACCAUCCAUCAGUAGGAACAACAUUGUAUUUGAGUGAGGGCUGGUUUAUGCCGAUCCAUAAUCCGAUCAGCGUCCGUUUUAACUCAUGAACUUGCUGCGCAUGCAUGUGGAGGACGGGGCAGCAGCGCUUUGAGGGAUGAUCAUUUCCUCCCAACAUCUGCAGCACCAUGAGUUGCUGAGCCGGUGUUUAAUUAUGGAAACCAGUAAUUAUGUGUGAGCGAUAUGAAGAAAAUCUAAUGUCCCGAUAUCUUUGGGCUAUAUCGCAAUACACGAUAUAUAUCACAAUAUGAUCAAAUAACCUUGAAAAUCAAACGUUUUUAGCCACAUAGUGCCUAAAGUUGCAUUAGUAUAUCUCAAAUUAACAUGUAAUUUUUUUGUUUGAAAAAUUG